GAUUAAUGGGAGUUGCAGACCGCUAUACUUAGACCUUUGAGAAUGAUCACGUUUUCUUGUUGCUUCUAGAAUGAGCCACAGAAUCAGAACUGUAUUUCCAGCGAGAAGAACAGAGGCAUAAAAAACAAUAAGUUUGGCCACCCGAAGAGAAAAAAAGAAGGCGUGCACAGCUCAAGCGCAUCAAUUAACUGAAGGCAUCCACAUUCAGCUACAAGAUAAUUCUGGCUGGUCCCUUAGGAGGUACUGAUUGUGGUUACUAGAUGAAGGGAAUUUUUAAAGCUAAUAGUAUUUCAUUUUUUUAUCUGCUCUCUUAAGUUUUUGAC
rnacentral:lncRNA from 1 species